rnacentral:rRNA from 1 species
GACGAACGCUGGCGGCGUGCUUAACACAUGCAAGUCGAACGGAAAGGCCCUGCUUUUGUGGGGUGCUCGAGUGGCGAACGGGUGAGUAACACGUGAGUAACCUGCCCUUGACUUUGGGAUAACUUCAGGAAACUGGGGAUAAUACCGGAUAGGAGCUCCUGCUGCAUGGUGGGGGUUGGAAAGUUUCGGCGGUUGGGGAUGGACUCGCGGCUUAUCAGCUUGUUGGUGGGGUAGUGGCUUACCAAGGCUUUGACGGGUAGCCGGCCUGAGAGGGUGACCGGCCACAUUGGGACUGAGGGACGGCCCAGACUCCUACGGGAGGCAGCAGUGGGGAAUAUUGCACAAUGGGCGGAAGCCUGAUGCAGCGACGCCGCGUGCGGGAUGACGGCCUUCGGGUUGUAAACCGCUUUCGCCUGUGACGAAGCGUGAGUGACGGUAAUGGGUAAAGAAGCACCGGCUAACUACGUG